UACAGAGGGGGCAAGCGUUUAUUCGGAAUUAUUGGGCGUAAAGGGCGCGUAGGCGGCUUUGCAAGUGACGGGUGAAAUCCCUCGGCUUAACCGAGGAACUGCCUGUCAAACUGCAUGGCUUGAGACCGGGAGAGGAGACUGGAAUUCCCGGUGUAGCGGUGAAAUGUGUAGAGAUCGGGAGGAACACCGGUGGCGAAGGCGGGUCUCUGGGCAUUUCCUGACGCUGAGGCGCGAAAGCGUGGGGAGCAAACGGG
rnacentral:rRNA from 1 species